rnacentral:lncRNA from 1 species
GUACCCACACCCAUACACAUAACUAAAAUUAGUAAAUAAAUCUUAAAAACUAAAAGAAGUGGUUCUCAGAGACCCAGGCAGUGUCCCUGAGGUCUGCAUAAUAAAAUGACAUCUACUUGAUUACUGCACUGUCUCCAUGAGUCUAAAAUGCCUUAGAAUUAACCACCUGUCUCUGAGACCUUAAACACCGUGCUCCCAAGUUAUUACCGUGAAACUUAGGUCAGACAUUUAUGAUUUCUCCUUAGUGCUGGGGAGACGACCUACAGUCUGGAGCACGCCAACGACCUUCGAGUGGAAGUGCAGAAAGUGUACGAGCUAAUAGAUGCUUUAAGUAAGAAGAUCUUAACCUUGGGCUUGAACCAAGACCCUUCACCACAUCCAAACACUCUUCGGCUACAGAGAAUGAUCA